UACGGAGGGGGCUAGCGUUGUUCGGAAUUACUGGGCGUAAAGCGCACGUAGGCGGCUUUGUAAGUUAGAGGUGAAAGCCCGGGGCUCAACUCCGGAAUUGCCUUUAAGACUGCAUCGCUAGAAUUGUGGAGAGGUAAGUGGAAUUCCGAGUGUAGAGGUGAAAUUCGUAGAUAUUCGGAAGAACACCAGUGGCGAAGGCGACUUACUGGACACAUAUUGACGCUGAGGAGCGAA
rnacentral:rRNA from 1 species